GAAGACGAUGGGCUUUUCUUCAGACUCAACCUCUCUGGGCUUUUCUUCUCGGUUUCUUUUAAUUUUCAUUUGGGCCUUGUAACAGACCGUAGCCCAUUUACAUCUUGAGUCGAUAACCAGUCAGCUUCAAAUGAACCGAAGACUCAGUUGAACCGGAGUUAAACGGGAGAUAAAAACUCACAAAAGCCUAAAAUCAAGUUAACUGAUUUUUUCCUAUAUCGGAUCAGACCUGGAGAACGAGAUUAAAACUUCAAAGACCAUUGUGUGAUCUUCAUUAAU